CUCCUAGGUGAGAAGCCUAAGGCAUAAUUGUAAUGUGAGCAAGGGAAAUCGGCAAAAUGGAUGAAAAACCUCGGGAUAAUCAUUGGCUCUAGCAUGCUAGAACUGGGCUUACAAGGGGAAUCUGACUGUUUAAUAAAAACAUAGCUUUGUGUGUACGCAAAGUGAAUUCUGCCCAGUGCUUGGGACGUUAAGGAAGUAAUUUUAAGUACGCACCUGUAAACGGCGGGAGUAACUAUGACUCUCUUAAGGUAGCCAAAUGCCUCGUCGCCUAAUUAGCGACGCGCAUGAAUGGAGCAACGAGAUUCCCACUGUCCCUGCUCACAGAUUUGCGAACCUACAGCCAAGGGAACGGGCUUGGGACAUGCAGCGGGGAAAGAAGACCCUGUUGAGCUUGACUCUAGCCAAGCACAGGCCUCUGUGACUAUAUCGUAGCGAGGUGGGAGAAAUGUGUGAGACCACUGACAUAGUCGGCGGGGGCACUCGCAAAGCUUGGUGGGGAGUUUGGCUGGGGCGGCACGACUACUAAAACAUAACGUAGACGUCCAAAGGUAAGCUCCGAGGGGAUGGAAACCACUCCGAGAGUAUAAGGGCAAAAGCUUGCUUUAGUUAUUAAUGUAAAUUAAUAAUACUGGAAACAGGGGCCUAGAGAUCCUCUAUGAAACUAAGCAUAGAGGUGACGGAAAAGUUACCACAGGGAUAACUGGCUUGUGGCGGCCGAGCGUCCAUAGCGACGCCGCUUUUUGAUUCUUCGAUGUCGGCUCUUCCGAGCAUGGUGGAGUAUCAGCCACCAAGUGUGUGAUUGUUCACCAACUAACAGGGAACGUGAGCUGGGUUUAGACCGUCGCGAGACAGGUUAGUUUUACCCUACUGCAUCGCGUCCGAGAGUAGGUCGGGGCAGUACGAGAGGAAGUGCCGAUCAGAACCGCUGGUGAUACUUUCGUCUGUUAAGGCGCGAAGUGUAGCUACGUUCUUCUUAUAAUAGCUGAAAGCCUCUAAGC
rnacentral:rRNA from 1 species